GGCAGCGACUUAACUGAACCUUCGGGGGACGUUAAGGGCGGCGAGCGGCGGACGGGUGAGUAAUGCCUGGGAAUAUGCCCUGAUGUGGGGGAUAACUAUUGGAAACGAUAGCUAAUACCGCAUAAUCUCUUCGGAGCAAAGAGGGGGACCUUCGGGCCUCUCGCGUCAGGAUUAGCCCAGGUGGGAUUAGCUUGUUGGUGAGGUAAUGGCUCACCAAGGCAACGAUCCCUAGCUGGUCUGAGAGGAUGAUCAGCCACACUGGAACUGAGACACGGUCCAGACUCCUACGGGAGGCAGCAGUGGGGAAUAUUGCACAAUGGGGGAAACCCUGAUGCAGCCAUGCCGCGUGUGUGAAGAAGGCCUUCGGGUUGUAAAGCACUUUCAGUAGGGAGGAAGGUAGUGUAGUUAACACCUGCACUAUUUGACGUUACCUACAGAAGAAGCACCGGCUAACUCCGUGCCAGCAGCCGCGGUAAUACGGAGGGUGCGAGCGUUAAUCGGAAUUACUGGGCGUAAAGCGCAUGCAGGCGGCCUGUUAAGUCAGAUGUGAAAGCCCGGGGCUUA
rnacentral:rRNA from 1 species